AACGAACGCUGGCGGCAGGCUUAACACAUGCAAGUCGAGCGCCCCGCAAGGGGCGCGGCAGACGGGUGAGUAACGCGUGGGAACGUACCUUUUGGUUCGGAACAACUCCGGGAAACUGGAGCUUAUACCGGAUAAGCCCUAACGGGGAAAGAUUUAUCGCCGAGAGAUCGGGCCGCGUCUGAUUAGCUAGUUGGUGAGGUAACGGCUCACCAAGGCGACGAUCAGUAGCUGGUCUGGGAAGAUGAUCAGCCACACUGGGACUGAGACACGGCCCAGACUCCUACGGGAGGCAGCAGUGGGGAAUAUUGGACGAUGGGCGCAAGCCUGAUCCAGCCGUGCCGCGUAAGUGAUGAAGGCCUUAGGGUUGUAAAGCUCUUUUGUCCGGGAAGAUAAUGACUGUACCGGAAGAAUAAGCCCCGGCUAACUUCGUG
rnacentral:rRNA from 1 species